ACUGCCCUGGACACCGAUUGGGACUCGAGGCCCGAGUGCAUAGGGCAUGCCUCGACCUCAUAUUUGCAAUGCUGCCUAGCACGUUCCAUCGGCCUAAAUGUGCCUUGGAUGCCUGUUGGGACCCAAGCCCGAGCGCACAGGUCACCCCGACCCCGUAUUUGCAAUACUGCCCGGCACCUUCCAUCGAUCUUAGCAUGUAGGGCACACGGGGCUACUAUUUUGGAUGCCAACUGGGACCC
rnacentral:lncRNA from 1 species